GGAAGAAUUUGUCAAGUCUUUAGCCGACUCCCUGUGCAAGUAUCCAGAGGAGCUGGUUUCAAGUACCUUGGCUGGAGCACUAUUGAGUCGUCCUCUGCUACUGCAUCCAGCAGCUGCAACCCAUCUUAUGCCCAAGCUGCUCAUACCUCAGUCAAGCUCAGAAAAAGAAGGGGAAUCUGGACUGUUUUCCCCAGAGGUCUUCCGUCGGGACAUUAUCCCACAGGUGGUGAGGCUCUACAGCGUCCAUGAUGCUACCGUGAGAAACAUUCUCCUCACUU